CCUACGGGUGGCUGCAGUGAGGAAUAUUGGUCAAUGGGCGCGAGCCUGAACCAGCCAAGUAGCGUGAAGGAUGACUGCCCUACGGGUUGUAAACUUCUUUUAUCAAGGAAUAACGUGAGCCACGUGUGCCUUUUUGUAUGUACUUUAUGAAUAAGGAUCGGCUAAGUCCGUGCCAGCAGCCGCGGUAAUACGGAGGAUCCGAGCGUUAUCCGGAUUUAUUGGGUUUAAAGGGAGCGUAGAUGGGUUGUUAAGUCAGUUGUGAAAGUUUGCGGCUCAACCGUAAAAUUGCAAUUGAUACUGGCAGCCUUGAGUACAGUUGAGGUAGGCGGAAUGCGUGGUGUAGCGGUGAAAUGCUUAGAUAUCACGAAGAACUCCGAUUGCGAAGGCAGCUUACUAAACUGCCACUGACAUUGAUGCACGAAAGUGUGGGUAUCAAACAGGAUUAGAUACCCGGGUAGUC
rnacentral:rRNA from 1 species